AUUGAACGCUGGCGGCAUGCUUUACACAUGCAAGUCGAACGGCAGCGCGGGCUUCGGCCUGGCGGCGCGUGGCGAACGGGUGAGUAAUGCAUCGGAACGUGCCCAGUAGUGGGGGAUAGCCCGGCGAAAGCCGGAUUAAUACCGCAUACGACCUGAGGGUGCAAGCGGGGGACCGAAAGGCCUCGCGCUAUUGGAGCGGCCGAUGUCGGAUUAGCUAGUUGGUGGGGUAAAGGCUUACCAAGGCGACGAUCCGUAGCUGGUCUGAGAGGACGACCAGCCACACUGGGACUGAGACACGGCCCAGACUACUAAGGGAGGCAGCAGUGGGGAAUUUUGGACAAUGGGGGCAACCCUGAUCCAGCCAUGCCGCGUGCGGGAAGAAGGCCUUCGGGUUGUAAACCGCUUUUGUUCGGGAAGAAAUCCUCUGGGCUAAUACCCCGGGGGGAUGACGGUACCGGAAGAAUAAGCACCGGCUAACUACGUG
rnacentral:rRNA from 1 species